GAUCUGCAAAGCUAAAUAUUACAUUCUCUGAAAAAUUGGGUGGUACGGUAGGAAUGAACUAUCGUUCGUUCAAGGAUGACGUGGUAGUCAUAAUGAAAAGAAAGUUACCACUCAUUGGAGUGAGGACGUGGUCGGACAUUCACCCUACCAUUCAUCGACUCAUUAUUGCAGAUAUGAUAGAUAGAUGGGACCUGGAAGAUACACCAGAAACAGAAGAAAAAGUUCUCAAAAUUGCGAAAGA